rnacentral:rRNA from 1 species
GAUGAACGCUGGCGGCGUGCUUAACACAUGCAAGUCGAACGGUGAAGGCGGAGCUUGCUCUGCUGGAUCAGUGGCGAACGGGUGAGUAACACGUGAGCAAUCUGCCCCUGACUCUGGGAUAAGCGCUGGAAACGGCGUCUAAUACUGGAUACGAGCUGCGAAGGCAUCUUCAGCAGCUGGAAAGAAUUUCGGUCAGGGAUGAGCUCGCGGCCUAUCAGCUUGUUGGUGAGGUAAUGGCUCACCAAGGCGUCGACGGGUAGCCGGCCUGAGAGGGUGACCGGCCACACUGGGACUGAGACACGGCCCAGACUCCAACGGGAGGCAGCAGUGGGGAAUAUUGCACAAUGGGCGAAAGCCUGAUGCAGCAACGCCGCGUGAGGGACGACGGCCUUCGGGUUGUAAACCUCUUUUAGCAGGGAAGAAGCGAAAGUGACGGUACCUGCAGAAAAAGCGCCGGCUAACUACGUG